rnacentral:rRNA from 1 species
GACGAACGCUGGCGGCGUGCUUAACACAUGCAAGUCGAACGGAAAGGCCCUGCUUUUGUGGGGUGCUCGAGUGGCGAACGGGUGAGUAACACGUGAGUAACCUGCCCUUGACUUUGGGAUAACUUCAGGAAACUGGGGCUAAUACCGGAUAGGAGCUCCUGCUGCAUGGUGGGGGUUGGAAAGUUUCGGCGGUUGGGGAUGGACUCGCGGCUUAUCAGCUUGUUGGGGGGGUAGUGGCUUACCAAGGCUUUGACGGGUAGCCGGCCUGAGAGGGGGACCGGGCACAUUGGGACUGAGAUACGGCGCAGACUCCUACGGGAGGCAGCAGUGGGGAAUAUUGCACAAUGGGCGGAAGCCUGAUGCAGCAACGCCGCGUGCGGGAUGACGGCCUUCGGGUUGUAAACCGCUUUCGCCUGUGACGAAGCGUGAGUGACGGUAAUGGGUAAAGAAGCACCGGCUAACUACGUG